UACGUGAGGGGGCAAGCGUUGUCCGGAUUUAUUGGGCGUAAAGAGCGUGUAGGCGGCCAGACAGGUCAGCUGUGAAAACUCGAGGCUCAACCUCGAGACGUCGGUUGAAACCGUCUGGCUAGAGUCCGGAAGAGGAGAGUGGAAUUCCCGGUGUAGCGGUGAAAUGCGCAGAUAUCGGGAAGAACACCCGUGGCGAAGGCGACUUCCUGGCCUGUUCUUGACGCUGAGGCGCGAAAAGCUAGGGGAGCAAACGGGG
rnacentral:rRNA from 1 species